UACGUAGGGGGCAAGCGUUGUCCGGAUUUAUUGGGCGUAAAGAGCUCGUAGGCGGCUCGGUAAGUCGGAUGUGAAACCUCCAGGCUCAACCUGGAGACGCCAUCUGAUACUGCCGUGGCUUGAGUCCGGUAGAGGAGCAGGGAAUUCCUGGUGUAGCGGUGAAAUGCGCAGAUAUCAGGAGGAACACCGAUGGCGAAGGCAGUGUUCUGGGCCAGUACUGACGCUGAGGAGCGAAAGCGUGGGGAGCAAACAGG
rnacentral:rRNA from 1 species